rnacentral:lncRNA from 1 species
AAGAGAGGAAGACAGACCUCAGAGGGAGUGGUGAGAGAGAAAUGGCAUCAACUGCUUGCUUCCUCCACCACCAUGCACCCUCCACCUUAAGGACUCCAUCACGUCCCAUGCCGAGCAUCAGGCCUACCCAGCUGGUCUGCAGGGCCCAGAAGCAGGCAGGCCUAGAAGCCGAGAGCGACGCCGUGAUCUCCCGUCGGCUGGCUCUGACGGUCCUCGUCGGCGCUGCUGCCGUCGGUGUGAAGGUCUCGCCUGCCGAUGCCGCCUAUGGGGAAGCAGGUAGUCUUUCCUUCAACUCUUACCCUGCAAUAAAAACACUGGCAAUAAUUAUUCAACUUGAGGCCUGUGAUAGUCCUAGCCAUCAGUAUGUGUAUAAAUUACAUAAGAAUUUGAACAGAAAAGGAAAAUAUNNNNNNNNNNNNNNNNNNNNNNNNNNNNNNNNNNNNNNNNNNNNNNNNNNNUAAAAAUGCCUAAAAUUGUUUAUUGGAUGCAGCUAAUAUCUUUGGGAAGCCGAAGACAGACACAGACUUCUUGCCAAUCAGUGGCGAUGGCUUCAAGCUGAUGAUACCAUCAAAGUGGAACCCAAGCAAAGAGGUGGAGUUUCCUGGUCAGGUGCUGAGGUUUGAAGACAACUUGGACUCCAACAGCAACGUUGGCGUCAUGGUCACCCCCACAACAAAGUCAUCCAUCACUGACUAUGGCAGCCCUGAGGAAUUCCUCUCACAAGUAAUUACAUUUCCUCUCUAUUUUAGUUCUUAAUAUACUAGCAAAGUUUCAAUCAUGGGAGUUUUUUUUUUGAUGUAACAAUCAUGGGAGUUUUCUAAGCCAGAUAAUCUUAACCAGGCCAUACUCAACAGUAUAAAAACAAAUCAUGAGGAACUGUAAGAAAUCCUGAAUAGAUGGUAUGUUAUUAUCCUGUUGUUAUGUGCAUUCCUCAUGCCAAAAUUAAUGCUUCUUAGCUUGUUAGAAUUUGGUGAACCAUGAGUCCUAACCAGUGAAUCUUUCCUGCAUAUGUUCUAUUAAUCCUUUGCCAUCUGUUAUAAUUAAAGGCUGCACCUUCUGCCACUGCUAGCUUUCUACAUUUUCUUGCACUUCAUCCAUAUUCUUUAAGUGAUCCCAUCCAAUUUCCUAAACCUUCAAGAUCAGCUGCGUUUCUUAUUUGGCCCUCCAAUUUUUUUAUGGAUGACUACUUAUCUGAAGAUUUUUUUUGCCGCAUCCACUGUGGCUAAUCAAAUAAAGCUCUAAGUGAUCUCAUAAAAGUUUGACUUUAAGAACAAGAACCAGGGGAGAAAAGUUAUGUCAGCUUCUCGAUAUACACAGUUGGUGAGGAACAAUGAUCAGCAAAAUUCCUCAACAAGUAGCUCAUGGGGUUUCUAUACUAGUUGCUCGAGUUCAAAAAUAAAAAAGAAAAAAGGGGGGGGAGAAAAAAUCAUGUAGUUGCUCAAGACAUUAAAUACAAGAUUUUGGCAACUGCGCAAGGCUGCAGCCCAAGUUUAUAAGCAAAAGUUCUGAUACCAGAAUGCUGGAGGACUUGAGUUACAAUACAUUUCUGUGCAGGUUGAUU